rnacentral:rRNA from 1 species
ACGUAAUAGAUACCCUGGUAGUCCACGCCCUAAACGAUGUCUACUAGUUGUUGGUGGAGUAAAAUCCAUGAGUAAACGCAGCUAAACGCGUGAAGUAGACCGCCUGGGGAGUACGGUCGCAAGAUUAAAACUCAAAUGAAUUGACGGGGGGCCCGCACAAGCGGUGGAUUAUGUGGAUUAAUUCGAUGCAACGCGAAAACCUUACCUGGCCUUGACAUGUAACGAACUUUCCAGAGAUGGAUUGGUGCUCGAAAGAGAACGUUAACACAGGUGCUGCAUGGCUGUCGUCGGCUCGUGUCGUGAGAUGUUGGGUUAAGUCCCGCAACGAGCGCAACCCUUGCCAUUAAUUGCCAUCAUUUAGUUGGGCACUUUAAUGGGACUGCCGGUGACAAACCGGAGGAAGGUGGGGAUGACGUCAAGUCCUCAUGGCCCUUAUGGCCAGGGCUUCACACGUAAUACAAUGGUCGGUACAGAGGGUUUGCCAACCCGCGAGGGGGAGCCAAUCCCAGAAAAGCCGAUCGUAGUCCGGAUUGUAGUCUGCAACUCGACUAC